rnacentral:sRNA from 1 species
AUUCUGCCCAAGCGGGGAAGGAUGAGAAGCUUCGACCAAGGUUCGACUCGAGCGCCAGCGAGAGAGCGUUGCCGCAGGCAACGACCCGAAGGGCGAAGCGCGCAGCG